ACUUCUUAGUAUUUGUUUGGGAAAAAUGUCAAAAAAAUUCACCAACUUUCGAAUUUGGAACGAUUUAAUCUUGAACUUCACGGAAGACAAAUAAAUCGUAAAGUUUUUGUUGACUUUCUAAAUAAAUGACAAAGUUUUUGUUGACUUGCCAUUUAAAUCAUGUCGUUAAACAGAUUAAUA
rnacentral:sRNA from 1 species